rnacentral:snRNA from 1 species
GUGCUCACUUCGGCAACACAUAUACUAAAACUGGAACGAUACAGAGAAGAUUAGCAUGGCCGCUGCACAAGGAUGACAUGCAAACUUGUGAAGUGUUCCAUAUUUUU